rnacentral:rRNA from 1 species
AUUGAACGCUGGCGGCAGGCCUAACACAUGCAAGUCGAACGAGUGGCGGACGGGUUAGUAAUGUCUGGGCAACUGCCUGAUGGAGGGGGAUAACUACUGGACACGGUAGCUCAUACCGCAUACCAUCGGAUGUGCCCAGAGGGGAUUAGCUAGUAGGUGGGGUAACGGCUCACCUAGGCGACGAUCCCGAGCUGGUCUGAGAGGAUGACCAGCCACACUGGAACUGAGACACGGUCCAGACUCCUACGGGAGGCAGCAGUGGGGAAUAUUGCACAAUGGGCGCAAGCCUGAUGCAGCCAUGCCGCGUGUAUGAAGAAGGCCUUCGGGUUGUAAAGUACUUUCAGCGGGGAGGCGUUACCCGCAGAAGAAGCACCGGCUAACUCCGUGCCAGCCGCCGCGGUAAUUC